GCCGCGUGUGGUGGCGUGCGCCUGUAGUCCCAGCUACUCGGGAAGCUGAGGUGGGAGGAUCGCUUGAGCCAAGAAGUUCUGGGCUGCAGUGCNNGGUGUCUGCACUAAGUUCGGCAUCAAUAUGGUGACCUCCCUGGAGCGGGGGACCACCAGGUUGCCUUAGGAGGGGUGAACCGGCCCAGGUCGGAAACGGAACAGGUCAAAACUCCCGUGCUGAUCAGUAGUGGGAUCGCGCCUGUGAAUAGCCACUGCACUCCAGCCUGGGCAGCAUAGUGAGACCCUGUCUCU
rnacentral:SRP_RNA from 1 species